rnacentral:rRNA from 1 species
CGGCCGGACAAGUCCGUUGGGAAAUCCACGCGCUCAACGCGUGGGCGUCCAGCGGAAACUGUCCGGCUUGGGGCCGGAAGACCUGAGGGGUACGUCCGGGGUAGGAGUGAAAUCCCGUAAUCCUGGACGGACCACCGGUGGCGAAAGCGCCUCAGGAAGACGGACCCGACGGUGAGGGACGAAAGCUAGGGUCUCGAACCGGAUUAGAUACCCGGGUAGUCCUAGCCGUAAACGAUGCUCGCUAGGUGUGCCGCAGGCUACGAGCCUGCGCUGUGCCGUAGGGAAGCCGUGAAGCGAGCCGCCUGGGAA